rnacentral:lncRNA from 1 species
CACUCUGUUUCUUAAACACUGGAUGAAAAUAGGAUUUACAUCACUGAGUACUCAUGCUGAGAAACAAGACCACAGGCUAUGCAGCCAUUAUUUCAAGUGCUUAUCUUAUGUUAGAGAUACAACCUCUGCAUUUAUUGAGAAGAAAGUGGAGUCUGACAGUAACUGCUACAAAGUUUUCACCAAGAGCCCUGACAGCUGUCCUUCAAACAUUCCUAACAACCCUUAUGAUCA